rnacentral:lncRNA from 1 species
UAACCCCAAGCUUUUGAACAGUUUUGAUUGUUUCAUGUGUAUAUUAGACUUACAUAAAUGGUAAAUUCUUUGAUUAAAACAUAAAUAUAAUUGUUUUGCACAGGAUGAGCUCAGGACUCAAGAGGAGAACAUUGAACAUUUCCAUCGCAGAUCAUCAGAGAUCCAGGAGCUUCUGCAGAGUCGCGAGUUCCCACUGGAGCUGCAGGUGAUUUACAGACACAUCAGCCACUUUUCACAAUGCUAAUUUAUUCAAUUAAUGCUAGAGAAUGUGUAAUGACAUUUGUAUGCAAAAAUGAUGUGAUAUGCUGUGUUCUGUAGGUAAACCUCAUGUAUUAGUUAGUAUGAACCAUACUAGCUCUUUAACAAAUCUUCAAAUUUCAGCAAAUUCACUAGUUAAUUUUUACAGGUGAUUGAGAGCCAGCUGAGAAAGAAGAUGGCAGAGGUGAAGGAGCUCUUUUCUGAGGCCAGUGAUGUUUUCAGACAGCUGGAAGCUGCCAAAGGGAAGGUGGCGUCUAAUAUUGCAGAUCACCUGUCCUCCAUUCAAACCAUCACAAAUGCACUGACCUCACUGACCACAUCUGAAAGCCCACAUGUCCUCAACACAAUCCAGGGGUUAUCGGAGAAGCUGCAAGCAGAGGCAGAGCAGGCUGAUGCAUUAUUUCAGCAGAUAAAUCUUCUGGCCAGCAUUGCAGGUCUAGAAAACCUGCAGGUGCUGGCUGAAGAUGGAGCUCAACUUCAAGAAAGCAUCUGCACGGCUAGAGUGCUGGUCAUAGAGAAGAGAGAGCAAGCGAUGAACUCCAAGAUGGUCCAAGAUCCUAAGCACAUCAAGCCGCGCAUCAAAACAGAAGAUACUGCGCCUGAGAUACAGUGUGAAUCUAAUGGUAAAACAGAGGAACAGUCACACAGAGGCCACACACAAGAUCCUCUUCUUGAGUUGAAACACUUCAAAGAGCAGGCCUGCAGCUGGGCCACUGAACGGCAUCUGAAGGUUUCUGAGGAUGAGAACGGACAGAUCACACUUGAAGAGAAACUCACAGCAGUGCAGGUAGUUUUCUUGUCAAGGGUAUGUUUGUUCUCAAAGGGAGUGUGUGUUUUUAAAGUGGCCUGAACUGAAAUAUGAAAUUUUUUUUAGCUUUGAGAACUAGAAUCAUUUAGUUUCUUCACAAUUAGGUUAGUUGUGGAGUCUCUUUUGCACAGGAGUUGUUUGGGAGAAAAAAUGUUUUGAGUGGUUUUGGUACAUUUAGGGCCUCAUCACAAGCAACAAUUUUUUUUUUUUGAAGUGAGAGGCUUCAGUUUCUGCUGAUAUGACAGUUUCCUUAACAGCAAACCAAAGAUUUUAUAUAAUCCUUGUUUAGACUGACAGGACAGCUGAUUUGGUGGUUGCCUAGCAACAUGAAAAAACACGGAGCACUGCUCUUUUCUAAAUGAAAGAAAGUCAACCAAAAAAAGGCAGUGCAGUGAGCCUUGCAUUUUCAAACCUGAGUUUUCUAUCUGAUCAGGGUCUUGUAAAGUACAAUUAAGCAACAUCAGGUGCCUUUUAUUGUUCCAAACCUGUAUGACUUAUUACUUUCUUC